rnacentral:misc_RNA from 1 species
CAGAUGUUGCUGUUAAGGUAUUCUCCAAGCAAGAAUAUUCAGAAGAUGUUAUACUUUCAUUUAGACAAGAGGUGUCUCUUAUGAAAAGACUUCGACAUCCAAAUAUAUUGCUUUUCAUGGGUGCUGUCACUUCGUGUCAGCGUCUCUGCAUUGUUACAGAGUUCCUUCCACGUGGAAGUUUGUUUCGCUUACUCCAGAGGAACACAACCAAACUGGAUUGGAGGCGACGUGUCCAUAUGGCGUCAGAUAUAGCACGGGGUAUGAAUUAUCUUCAUCAUUGCAAUCCAC